rnacentral:lncRNA from 1 species
UUUUUUUUAUACAACCAAAAUAUAAUUUUCCGUUAUUUUAUUUUUUUUUUUUUCAACUUUUAACUUUUUAUUUUUUGUUUUAUAAUUAUGAUUAAUUAUGAUAGUAUACUAAUUAAUGAUAGUUAUGUAUCAGAAAUGACAAUAGAUGAUGUUAAAAAAUUAAAGCCUUAUUGGAAUAUGCAGAUAGCUAAUUAUAAAGAAGGUACGAAGGAGCCCGUUUAUACUUUAUUACAAAUGGCAAUUAUUAUGAACAGAAAAAAAAUAGUUGGGUAUUUACUAGCUAGAAGAGGCUUAGAUAUAAAUGCUCUCAGUAGAAAUAAUCAAACAGCUUUAAUGAUUGCUUGUGAAAAAAAAGUUCCAUUAGAUUGGAUUGAGGCAAUUUUAAAAAAAGGUGGAGAUUUAGGUAUAAAUAUGAAAGACGAUUACAAUGAGACUGCAUUAGAUAAAUGUAUCUUCAACUCAAAAGCCUAUCGUUUACUUUUAAAAUAUGGAGCUAUCGAAACAAACGCUAUGAGACUGCAAGAAACAGAGGUAAACUAAUUUUUUUUUAAUUAAGAAAUAAAUUCAUGAUAAAAAAAAAAAAAAAAAAAAAA